rnacentral:misc_RNA from 1 species
GAGCGAUGGACUGAUGGGCCCGAGUGUGGAAGAGGAGGUGUUGAAGGAGAGAGGAGUGGAGUCCUUACCGUUUGGCGGGAAGCGGCUAUUGACGGAGACGAACGGACAAAUAAUCGAGAGCUUCGCUCAAUGCCUUGUUGCUUCAGGAAGGAGUAGCUUGCCACCUAGUCCUUGCAAGGAUUCCGCCGUUAGCCCUCUAGCCAACGGCUGUUAGUUAGUUUUGGCUACCCUUCCCAUG